UCCUUUGUCUCCCUGAGGAUAUUCCAGUCGGCUCUGUCCCUUGGGUCAGCGCUCAAAUCAGAAGAAAAUCCAGCUGAUAGUCCUUGUCACAUGGGGACAGCGAGGACCUCAGGGCCAGAACAGAUUUUUCAGUUAAUUAUUAAGAAGCCGCUCCCAGGAGGGGCAGCAGCGGGGAGCGCUUCCUGGUGUGUAGAGAAAGGCAGGCGCACGUGAGAAUACAGGCGGGCAAUUCUGUAAUACCACGUUUUGCCUGCAGAGGGCAACAUCUCUCUAGCAAUGACCACACCACAAGCGAGACUGCAGGAAAGAGAUUUAAUUGGCCAAGAAACAAGGGUUUUGUUUAAAAAAAAAAUCAGAUCAAUAUAUUUCCAGUAAGCAAUUUCCACCCCUUCAUUUUUAUAUAGAGAUGUUGCUUUUUUCUAUUUACAGUGUACAUAGUGAGUUUUUAACAAAUAAAUACUUACAGAUUGGUCAACUGGUUAAAGAUAACCUGACUUGCCUGAGGCAUGGAAAAUACAGGAUGAAAUAGGAGAAAAGGAACCAGGGAUUGGUGAAUGCACAUGGAAAAGCACUUUCCUUUCUGGUUAAUAGCUUGCUCAGGAAAAAAAAAAUGCAUUUGAAAAUUUCCAAAAGAUCUUUCUCCAAGAGCAAACUAUUAUUAAUCUAAUUCUUUAAAAAGAAACAAAAAAUAAAACAGUAAUUGGUUUUAUAAAUCUUCCCCUUCAUUUCAAAGUCCAUCCUACACACAUUAGAUCAACGAGUUCCGGCUUUACGCAGAUUUCUACAUGUUUAAAGCUUUUAGAUUUAGAUUCAUCCCUCUCAGAUGCAUUGAUUCUGAGGCGCCUCCCCCCUUGCCCCUCCUAGACUCCGCAGAGACUGGCUGAAGCCAGCAAAGUUCACCCACCACUGAGAAGGGACCGUGGAGAUUAGUGUCACCAGGCAGCCCUGAGCCCACAGGCGGGCAGCCCCGCAUGGUGGCUGGCCCCGCAGUAGACACGCACCGCUUUAAGUCAGCAACACUCCUCUUCCCACAGAACAGGCGGCAGGCCCCCAGGGGCCUCUGCUGGGACUUGCCCUGCAGCCAUCUGUCCAGCUCUCAGACUGGGCUCCUCGCUCAGCUUUCCAAGCAGCAGAGAAUCAGCACCUUUAAUACCACCAGUGUCCCUGAGCACCCUGAUCCCAGGUAGACCCCUUUUCUGGGGAGACAAACAGACUCAGGCAGCUUCAGAGGGAGGAAUUCAAGGGAGAAGAGCAGGGCUGUCUGUCCGUUCACAGGUGGGGAACACCCCCUUGCCCUCAGCCUCCCACAGGGUGGUCUUCCACACAAGCUGCACAGAGGCGUUUCAGCUUCCCCCUGAAGACAUGGAGCCAACCAAUGGCUACUGGUCUUGUCACAGGUCCAGGCCCCCAUCUUCCAGGUUCAUGGUCACACUGCCUCCCUGGGUAAAGCCUCUUCAGGGAGAGGGGGCAGCAAGGCAAUGGAAGCAGGGGCAGCUGAGAGGGAGACAUCUGUGAGCCCACGGACCAGCAGGGCCACUAUAGCCAAAGGGAGUUGCCUUGCUGCCUAACCAGAGGAUGAUGCAGGAGCCAGGAGCACCUUCGUCCACUCCCUGACUUGCUACGUGUCCUCUGGGGGAGCCCUCAGCAUCGCUGCUGGCCCCAGCUCCCAUCCAGGGCCCUAGGUACAUAUGCAGGAGGGAUGCGGGGUUGGGGGGGUCACACCACCCCCAUAGGGUGCUGAGGCUGCAGGUGGGUGAGCUCACCCGAGGAGGGGAGUGAGCAGGUGGUCCCACGCCAAGGCCCAACCUCAGGAAAGGUGGUACCCUGGUGAGUGUGGUGUGCAGAGAGCCCAGAAGCUGCUGUGCUAGUUCCCUUCUUCCCUGCCCCACGAUGUGGUCAAGGUGAGGGGCCUUGGCUGAGGGAUGUCCAUGGGUCUCUGAAGCAAAGAGAGGGUUAGGAACCCCAGGGGAUGCAGGGGUCAAGGUGGGGAGGGGAGGCCUUCAC
ensembl:lncRNA